AUUGAACGCUGGCGGCAUGCCUUACACAUGCAAGUCGAACGGCAGCACGGGAGCAAUCCUGGUGGCGAGUGGCGAACGGGUGAGUAAUAUAUCGGAACGUGCCCGGUCGUGGGGGAUAACGUAGCGAAAGCUACGCUAAUACCGCAUACGAUCUACGGAUGAAAGCGGGGGAUCGCAAGACCUCGCGCGAUUGGAGCGGCCGAUAUCAGAUUAGGUAGUUGGUGAGGUAAAGGCUCACCAAGCCGACGAUCUGUAGCUGGUCUGAGAGGACGACCAGCCACACUGGGACUGAGACACGGCCCAGACUCCUACGGGAGGCAGCAGUGGGGGAAUUUUGGACAAUGGGGGGCAACCCUGAUCCAGCAAUGCCGCGUGAGUGAAGAAGGCCU
rnacentral:rRNA from 1 species